GACGAACGCUGGCGGCGUGCUUAACACAUGCAAGUCGAACGGAAAGGCCCUGCUUUUGUGGGGUGCUCGAGUGGCGAACGGGUGAGUAACACGUGAGUAACCUGCCCUUGACUUUGGGAUAACUUCAGGAAACUGGGGCUAAUACCGGAUAGGAGCUCCUGCUGCAUGGUGGGGGUAGGAAAGUUUCGGCGGUUGGGGAUGGACUCGCGGCUUAUCAGCUUGUUGGUGGGGUAGUGGCUUACCAAGGCUUUGACGGGUAGCCGGCCUGAGAGGGUGACCGGCCACAUUGGGACUGAGAUACGGCCCAGACUCCUACGGGAGGCAGCAGUGGGGAAUAUUGCACAAUGGGCGGAAGCCUGAUGCAGCAACGCCGCGUGCGGGAUGACGGCCUUCGGGUCGUAAACCGCUUUCGCCUGUGACGAAGCGUGAGUGACGGUAAUGGGUAAAGAAGCACCGGCUAACUACGUG
rnacentral:rRNA from 1 species